rnacentral:rRNA from 1 species
GUUGCAGGGUAUAGACCCGAAACCCGGUGAUCUAGCCAUGGGCAGGUUGAAGGUUGGGUAACACUAACUGGAGGACCGAACCGACUAAUGUUGAAAAAUUAGCGGAUGACCUGUGGCUGGGGGUGAAAGGCCAAUCAAACCGGGAGAUAGCUGGUUCUCCCCGAAAGCUAUUUAGGUAGCGCCUCGUGAAUUCAUCUCCGGGGGUAGAGCACUGUUUCGGCUAGGGGGCCAUCCCGGCUUACCAACCCGAUGCAAACUGCGAAUACCGGAGAAUGUUAUCACGGGAGACACACGGCGGGUGCUAACGUCCGUCGUGAAGAGGGAAACAACCCAGACCGCCAGCUAAGGUCCCAAAGUCAUGGUUAAGUGGGAAACGAUGUGGGAAGGCCCAGACAGCCAGGAUGUUGGCUUAGAAGCAGCCAUCAUUUAAAGAAAGCGUAAUAGCUCACUGGUCGAGUCGGCCUGCGCGGAAGAUGUAACGGGGCUAAACCAUGCACCGAAGCUGCGGCAGCGACACUGUGUGUUGUUGGGUAGGGGAGCGUUCUGUAAGCCUGUGAAGGUGUGUCGUGAGGCAUGCUGGAGGUAUCAGAAGUGCGAAUGCUGACAUAAGUAACGAUAAAGCGGGUGAAAAGCCCGCUCGCCGGAAGACCAAGGGUUCCUGUCCAACGUUAAUCGGGGCAGGGUGAGUCGACCCCUAAGGCGAGGCCGAAAGGCGUAGUCGAUGGGAAACGGGUUAAUAUUCCCGUACUUGGUGUUACUGCGAAGGGGGGACGGAGAAGGCUAUGUUGGCCGGGCGACGGUUGUCCCGGUUUAAGCGUGUAGGUGUGUGUUCCAGGUAAAUCCGGUUCACUUUAACACUGAGGCGUGACGACGAGGCACUACGGUGCUGAAGCAACAAAUGCCCUGCUUCCAGGAAAAGCCUCUAAGCAUCAGGUAACAUCAAAUCGUACCCCAAACCGACACAGGUGGUCAGGUAGAGAAUACCAAGGCGCUUGAGAGAACUCGGGUGAAGGAACUAGGCAAAAUGGUGCCGUAACUUCGGGAGAAGGCACGCUGACACGUAGGUGAAGUGAUUUACUCAUGGAGCUGAAGUCAGUCGAAGAUACCAGCUGGCUGCAACUGUUUAUUAAAAACACAGCACUGUGCAAACACGAAAGUGGACGUAUACGGUGUGACGCCUGCCCGGUGCCGGAAGGUUAAUUGAUGGGGUCAGCGCAAGCGAAGCUCCUGAUCGAAGCCCCGGUAAACGGCGGCCGUAACUAUAACGGUCCUAAGGUAGCGAAAUUCCUUGUCGGGUAAGUUCCGACCUGCACGAAUGGCGUAAUGAUGGCCAGGCUGUCUCCACCCGAGACUCAGUGAAAUUGAACUCGCUGUGAAGAUGCAGUGUACCCGCGGCAAGACGGAAAGACCCCGUGAACCUUUACUAUAGCUUGACACUGAACAUUGAGCCUUGAUGUGUAGGAUAGGUG